CUACGGAGGGUGCAAGCGUUACUCGGAAUCACUGGGCGUAAAGGACGCGUAGGCGGGUUGGCAAGUCAGAUGUGAAAUCCUACAGCUUAACUGUAGAACUGCAUUUGAAACUUCUAAUCUAGAGUAUGGGAGGGGGAGAUGGAAUUAGUGGUGUAGGGGUAAAAUCCGUAGAUAUCACUAGGAAUACCGAAAGCGAAGGCGAUCUCCUGGAACAUAACUGACGCUAAGGCGUGAAAGCGUGGGGAGCAAACAGGAUUAGAAACCCUAGUAGUCC
rnacentral:rRNA from 1 species